GGUGCAUGGUUGUCGUCAGCUCGUGUCGUGAGAUGUUGGGUUAAGUCCCGCAACGAGCGCAACCCUUGAUCUUAGUUGCCAGCAUUUAGUUGGGCACUCUAAGGUGACUGCCGGUGACAAACCGGAGGAAGGUGGGGAUGACGUCAAAUCAUCAUGCCCCUUAUGACCUGGGCUACACACGUGCUACAAUGGACAGAACAAAGGGCUGCGAGACCGCAAGGUUUAGCCAAUCCCAUAAAUCUGUUCUCAGUUCGGAUCGCAGUCUGCAACUCGACUGCGUGAAGCUGGAAUCGCUAGUAAUCGCGGAUCAGCAUGCCGCGGUGAAUACGUUCCCGGGCCUUGUACACACCGCCCGUCACACCACGAGAGUUUGUAACACCCGAAGUCGGUGAGGUAACCUUUAUGGAGCCAGCCGCCGAAGGUGGGACAGAUGAUUGGGGUGAAGUCGUAACAAGGUAGCCGUAUCGGAAGGUGCGGCUGGAUCACCUCCUUUCUA
rnacentral:rRNA from 1 species